UACGGAGGGUGCGAGCGUUGUCCGGAAUCACUGGGCGUAAAGGGCGCGUAGGCGGCAUGCCAAGCGUGUGGUGAAAGCCCGGGGCUCAACCCCGGGUCGGCCGUGCGGACUGGCGUGCUCGAGCACUGUAGGGGCGGGUGGAAUUCCGGGGUGUAGCGGUGGGAAUGCGUAGAUAUCGGAAGGAACACCAGUGGCGAAAGCGGCUUCCUGGUCCAGCACCGACGUCAGGCACGAAAGCGUGGGGAGCAAACAGG
rnacentral:rRNA from 1 species